rnacentral:rRNA from 1 species
UACGGAGGAUGCAAGCGUUAUCCGGAAUGAUUGGGCGUAAAGCGUCCGCAGGUGGCUGUGUAAGUCUGCUGUCAAAGAGCAAAGCUCAACUUUGUAAAGGCAGUGGAAACUACAUGGCUAGAGUGCGUUCGGGGCAGAGGGAAUUCCUGGUGUAGCGGUGAAAUGCGUAGAUAUCAGGAAGAACACCGGUGGCGAAAGCGCUCUGCUAGGCCGCAACUGACACUGAGGGACGAAAGCUAGGGGAGCGAAUGGG